rnacentral:misc_RNA from 1 species
UCGCCCCAAAGCGCACAGAGACCCUCACAGAGAAGAGCGGGGUGGAAAAUAGCAGCUGGGAGCAAACCUUGUCCCCUCCUCCCCUCCCACGUCGCGCGCACCGCCACUCGGUUUCUCUCGGACACGCACGCAACAGCAUACAGAGCUAGACACCCUCAUACCCUCACGCACGCACUGCUACACGCGGAAACUCCGCUGUUGGCUGCGCGGCUUUAAGUAUAUGGCAGAAAAUAGAGAACAACACCCCCUCUCUCCUUCUCACUCAGAAGAGAGGAGCUGAAGAACAGACAGAGUACGAGGGGGCCACGCAAUGCUGUGCUCCUCACUACCUCCUCCCAUUCGCUUUCCUCCCCUGAAAGUGCCAUGCAGGCUUCCACAUCUCCCUGCUACGCUCAUCUCCGCGGCACUACCGAAUUCUAGUUACAUACACGUAUCUCUUCGCUUUCCAACUCUUCAUCCAGUAACGACGAGAGGUCGUCGAACACGCCCAAACAGGCGAUGACUGGAGGCGCGAGAAGUCAACUCCAGACGAUGUCGCUGUCGGCCACCCGUCUCGUCGACGUGGAUGAGGCGGUCCGCAUUCUUCACGCGGCGUGUCAGCGUCGAGCGAGCGCAGACGCCUUGGCACCACUCGUGCAGUCGGCUCAGCACUUGGCCUCGAACUGCACGCCAGCGUUGUUUUCCAGCGUUCUGGAGGCCUGCGAUGCCACGACGGCGGUGGAGGCCGCGCCGAAGAAGCUGACGAUGCUCAACGCAGCGUGGAAACUGCUUCUCACGAUUGCUACGCAGGAGGGGGUGGGGCCGGCUUACUACAGCGCCGCCGUCGUGCACAUGGUCGAGCAGCUUCGCUGGGGCGUGCUGACGCAUGACUGGAGCGACACCAAGCGCGUUCGUCUGGCCGCGUUUUUUGCGUCGCACGUUGUAUCCACGGUUCGAGCCCAUCCCCAGCUGCUACUCCUCCGCACGCCGGACGCGACAGCCGUGAUUGGCCAGCUUGUACGGCUGUACUUCGCUGUGUGUGUGACGGUGGCGACGAGUAAACGGGACACAGAGGCGGUUUCGCUGCUUUACGACAACAUUGUGGUACGCCUCCACGCCGUCUUCGACUGUCUUGGUAACGCCGCCGCCGCUUCUACCGCAAGUGUAUACAGCAGCGAACCAGAAGCAGAGGCAACAUGCAGCGCUGAGGAGGCGAACAGGGACGGCGCUGCAUCGUCGUCGGCGCGUGGCGAGGCCGCUUCGGGACCUUCAGCUGCCCUACCACCACAGCAACGCUGCGAGAGUCCAUCCAGCGUGGUGGAGGAGCUGCUGACUCACUGCGUAUCGACGGCAGUCGCACGGGAGGUGGAGGAGGCGGCGGACGGCGGGAUGACGGUGCGCAUGGCACUUGCCACUGCCGCACUUAGCCUAUAUCUGCAUGUCGUGCGAGGCGCGCUGGAGGCUACCUCACCGUCUGCUGCCGGCACCGGCGCGGGCUCGGCGACGCAGGAGGGUGAUCCCCGCCAGCGAGACGCAGAGGAGGAUGAAGCGGCGGCCGCCGAGGCGACGCCCGCGCAGGCGUCAAGCUGGCCACGGCUGACCCCACUCGCAACGCAAGAGCUGGUUAUGAAGAGUUUGAUGUGGUGGACGCACUGCACAGCCGAGGAGGGGAAGGCGCACACCUCCGCGACUCGAGCUUCUCUGCUACAGGUGGAGGUACUCACGUGGGCAGCUGCACUGCCGCCGGAUGUUUUCUGCUCCGAAGCCUCAGAUGCGUCAUCAGCAGUGCCUCCGAUGUCGCUGCGAGCGCUGUGGACGGACACACUUGCCACCGUGUGGCAACAGUGGCUUUUUAGCGUGUGCGACGCGUCCCAGCAGAGCAAUGAGCCCAGUUGCGCAGGUGCUGCAGGGUCCCUGCGCGCAAGUGAAUCUCACGGAGCGGAAGCCAUGGCGCCAGCAGCGGAGCUGGACACAUCAGGGCCCCGAGACGGAAAAACUGAGCCGCCUGUAGUUGUCGCCAAGAGUACGCGCUUUGCCUCUCUCCUUCUGUCGUCUGUCGCCGGCACGCUUCACUCCUCUUCGGCUGCCUUGAUGGUGCUCGAGGCGUGGGCGGAGCUCUUCCGUAGAGCGGAAGAGGCAGUGACCGACGUAGCAUCCGCUGUACCGUCUCCGGGUAUACUCUCCACCGCUGACGAUGCAGUGACAAUCGUACAUCUGCUGCUGCGGGUAUUGGCUGAUCUUCGCUGUGGGGCAUCUUCACUCGUUGAGGGCUUCUUGCGGCUGCAGCGACACCAUUUCCAGGAUGGCAGGUGCAAGGCUGGCUCAGAGCAACCGGCGGACUUUGGCAGCGCACAUGCGAUGGUUGCAAUACCGCUUCAAUGGAUCUGCGCAGCGGUAGCGCUACUGGCCUACGGAGAAGAGGUGCUAGGGCUGCAUUCCCCAUGCGCCGUAGCGACAGCUGGAGUAGAGUGCGUAGGUGAGGUUGACGGUGCCGCGGCUGCCAGGGUGAUUACGCACUUAACGGCGGUGAUGCGGGCACACAUUACCCCCCAACUUUGCGCGAGCAAGGCGAGCGAGAUGGCAACCAUAACCGAGGCGCCAGCGGUGACCGACGCCACGGCGCAGAUGCGUGAACUGCUCAUGUCUGUGCGGCAGCACGCGUCUGCCGGUGGGACAGGGCAGACCUCGGCGUCCGUAAAGCUCGCCCGACGUGCCCAGCCUGCCUUGUUGCUCUUGGGUGUACCUCGUGCAUGGCGCGCUCUUGCCGUUGCUGUGGCGCGGCACCGACCUAAUGCUCCAGCCGAUGCGGACGGGGCGGACGCCGCGGAGCGUUGCGCGAUGGAGCUGAAGACAGUAUUGCUGUCUCUUGCGCCGCUACUCGCCUCUCUGACGCACAUCCUGCAGUCGCUAGAAUGUGAGCCGGGUCUCUCGGAGGCGAGCGAGGGGUCGGAGAUGCCAUCUGGUCUACCUUACGCUAGCGUGGCACGCUGGGUGGCCGCGCGGCUGCUGGACGAGGUCGCUGUGGUGCCGCUGACGGACAGCCCCGAGGACGCAGUGUUGGUUGCGUGCGUGCGUCGGUGGACGGACAUUGCCUUUGCAAGCGGAACUUGUUCUGCAAGCGAUGGCUCCGCGGCUGUGCACACUGACGACCCUGUCGCCCUUGCAGACGCUGCUGCUGCGCUGCUGCACGUCUUGGAGUGCACGACGCUGCCGCUGGAGAAGCUGCACCUAUCCGAGCAUGCCACCCACUCACUCAUGGAGCUCCUACAGGGUGGCGAUGGAAGUAUCUCCGGAGAGGUCAACAAGGUGGGAGGCGAUGACGACGCUGAUGGUCGCUGUCCCUCUUGGCCUGCACUGUGGCACCGCGAGGCAGUGCAGUGGUGCGAGAUGGAGAAAUGGCUUCUGGCCCGCCGUCGCGCUAUGGAGGAGAGCGAGGAGGCAGAGGAGUUGGCGUCGGCGCCAACGCUGGCGGAGGAGCUUUACGCGGCGCCUUUGCACAUGGACGCGACGGCGCCGCCCUCGUCUAACGAGGACCUGCGCCGAGGUCUGCUGUAUUGCGAGGCCGUGCUGCGACACCUUCAAGCGCGCAAUCUGGUCUUCCUCGACGAUACAGAGAACCAGAGCAAGCGCCGCAAGACCGAAAACGGCGAUGACCCGCAGGCCGCUGUCGCGGCUGUGGUGCAAAGCGUAGAGCGCAUUCAGGAGCUGAGCCGCGCCGUCUUGCUGCGUGCUGGAAAUGCAAGCCGCACAGCUACUAGCGGCUCUACUGCUGCGAUUGAUAGAGCCCCCCUUCCACCACCGCCUCCUGCCGGGUCUCUCAAGGCGUCGGCGCCACCGGGCAGCGAGGAAGAGACCUGCCGCGACGUUCCCGCCAUCACGCUGACAGACACGGAGUCGGUCGGGUGCCGUCGCGUGCCGUUGUCUGCGCAGGUGAUCGACGUGGGGUAACGCUACGCGAUGCAGCGGGGAGGGCGAAAGUGCAGGAUGGCGUGGGGGGAAAAAGCGAAGUGGAGUGAGUGAUGAAGGCAAGCGCCGAAUGUGCGCGCACUGGCCUCACUCUGGACUUCUCUAGGUUUCCCUCACGCCCAGACAGAUGCACGCGGGGGCAGUAGCACGGUGCUGGAUGAGGGUGCUGCCCCUUGCUGCACCCCUCCCUCCCUUCCCUCUUUUUUAAGUUUCUCGAAGGACACACGGCGUGCUUAAUAGACUCUUGGCUUCUCAGAAGAUGCGGACAACCCCCAAAGAACAAAACGAAAAACGAAAAAUGCACACCACAGUAUCGCGAGCACAAGUGGACGUAUAUGAUAUGUCAGCGUGCUGCCUUCAUCAUCAUCUUUUUCUUUUGUUCGCUCCUUGAGGUGAAUCUCUGACAACCCGUCGUAAGAAGAG